AAACCCUAACUCCCCAUUUUUCUCCUAUCAGCCGCGCACCCAUUCCACUUUCUCUCUCUACUCUCAUUGCUCUAUCAGCAACCAUAGCUGCGGCCACUCACCCCACCGGCGAACACCACGCUCCGGUGAGCCACGUCAAUGGUAAGACUACCGCCACCCUGACGAACGACGUCGCCAUGCAGCCGGCGACCACCACACCUCCAUCAGACCAGCGUCGCUCUUCUCUCUAACCAACGGCGAUGGACAGCAAUGACUGGUGAAACCCUAACUCCUGUCUUCGUUGCCUCCUUUCUCCCCGUUACAGUGAUUUCAGCGAACCAGCGCAACAUCGCACCAGCCGGCGAACUCUUCGAACCGACCAGCCGGCGAUUCCUCUGAGCCAACCGCCGUAUCCACCGCCGAUGAACCCAAUACAGAUGCCGAGCCCUCUCUCCAUCACAUGCAGCCGCCAUUGCUUUUCCCCCCAUGUUGCCUUUUUCAUCUGCUGCCUCGCCUCCGCCUUCUCCGGUCAAAUUCUCUGGAGAAUUGUUUUAAGGGCAUGGCGGAUUCAUUCGCGUCAGGUUUUCUCUCUUGUUUAAAGCAUCUGAAAUCUUCUUCUACCCUUUUUCUUCCUUGUACAGAUUCUUAGAUUCAAAACUGGUAAUUCUUGGCGCUGGUUUCCGAUGUAAUUAGUGUAAUGGUAUGUUUUUUCGUAGUCUAUUUUUUACCCUAAAUGUACCUUUUUUUUAACCCUAAAUGUACCUUUACUUACCGUUUUAGUUAGAAAUUCAAUAAUCCUAAAUUAGUUACUAUCUUUCUUUCUGAAGUCAAAUUGUUAUAGUCUUUUUCUCUACAUGGAUGUGAACUGUUUUGGCUAUGAUUUUGAAACAUCCUUUAAGUUUUAAAAACUUGACCAAAAACAUCCCUCUGUUAUGUUUUCCAUCCAUUUCUAACAGAAGUUUGGUUAUUCAUGUGACCUUCUUACUCUUCUUUCCCUGUAAGUUCCUCAUUCUCUGCAAGAAAACUUGCUUUGUAUUGUCUUUCCCCAGGAAAAUAAUUGUCCAUAGUUUUUUCUACCCAAUUAUAUCUUCCUAUCUCUUUUAGUUUGAAUACUCGAUUUUCCCACGUAUAGUUGUAAAGUGGUCUGAUAAAUUGUUUCAUCUUAAGAAGUAUGUAUGGUUUAGAAUUUUGCAUUGACGGGCUUAGAUAUAAUUUAGGACAUCUAGAAAGCUGCAGUAAUUAAGUACAAAAAUGUAACAUUCCACUAAUUGCUAAAGAUUUGUACAAAAUGCCAAAGAAUUACUUUCUCCGUUCAUCUUUAAUUGUCCAGUAUACCAGAAAUAGAUGUCCAACAAUAUUUAUCCAGUUUGAAAAAUUAAUGGAUAAUUUGCCAUUUUGAGUCAAUUUUACCUUUGCUAUUAAAUUCGUUGAAUUUUUCAAAGCAUUAACUUUAUAAUAUUUAAAUUUUGAUAUAGUAGAAUUGAACCUAUUAUUUAUUGUUUCUUAAGGUGUUUACCAAUUCAAUAUUCGAUAGGUAAAGAUUUACGAAGGGAGUAGUCAUGAGAUAAACAAUGUGCGGAAUGCAAGAAAUAUGCAGUAGUGCAAAAUGUAUAAAAUAUAAUGCGCUCCCUCUGUUUCAUUUUACUUGACCCCUAUACUAAAAUAAUUGUGUCAUUUAAAUAUACCAUGAUUUUAUUACUAUUAUUUACUCCUAUCAUACUAACCACAAAAUAUCACAAUAAAUAAAGCUACACAAAAGGCAAACUUCACUGGAGAAGACAAUUUUAAUUUCUAUGACCCUUUGGAGGCGGGAGAACGAAAACUCUCUAGAAAAAAAAAUGACAGAAGCUUGUAUCUUAUAAAAUUCCCCUUAGAAUUAGAUAUGGAAGAAGAAAGAAACGAGUCACGUGAAUAAACAAUCUUCUAUUAGGAAUGGAUGAAAAACAUAACAGAGGGAUGCUUUUGGUCAAGUUUUUAAAACUUAAAGGAUGUUUCAAUUUAAGUGACAUAUUAUAAGGAUGAAGUUAAAGUUUGGGUGAAAUAAUAAGAAUGAAUUUGGUCAAAAACUCUGGCUAUUUACUCUCUCCUUAAAAAUAAAUAAAAAAAGACUAUUAGCUGCUUCUACUACAAAGAAUAAAAAAAAAUUUCUUAAGCUUUGUGGUGUAUCUUUUCGAAUUUAGUUAGUGAUUGCUGUUUGUGCCUGUAACUUAAUUCGUGGAAUUAGUUAUACUAUACCAACUUAUGUCUCUUUUCUUAUUAAUUAACUCUCUUGUUUCAGUCCUGUACUUAUGUUCAUUUUCGUACUACAAUGUUAUUUAUGUACUUAUGGGGAACUUCAUAUGAAUGGUCUUCUUUAUUGAUGCAUGAUUAUAGUAUCUUGGCUCACCAUAUUGGUUAAUAGUAUUCAUUGUUUUUAACUCUGUUGUUUUGUAUUCAUCAUUCUUUUUUUUUUAUUUUCACAUGCCAUCUUUGAUAUAGGUUUUCCACUUUAUAAGUUGAAUGAAUUGGAAAAAGACUGAAUACCAACAGUGCCUUAUUUCGUUGUCCGCUCCCAAAGCUAAACUUUGCUAAACAGGCAACAAAGUUUGCCAUUCUGAUGAACUUGGAAUAUCGGAUGGUUGCAUCAGAAGAUAUUGGCAGACAACUUUUGACAUAUGGAGAGAGUCUACAGAUUGAUUAAUUAUUUCAGUCCAGUUAUGCAAAUCGAAAAUGCACUUGCUUCAUCCGUGGAUGGAGAAUCACCAUGCAAAUAUUUGGUAUCUUUUCAUAUUAGAUUUUUAUGGAGCUGAAGUAAACUUUAGGUUAUUCAAAUCGAGAUUGUUAAUUAUGUGUGACAUGAAUUUAGAUUUGUACUGUUUUGUAUUCGGAAUAUUUUUAGUUUAGUCUAUGUUAUAAGUGGUUGUAUAUGUUGUAAUUGUGUUUUUUGGUACGUUGAUAGUUUCUAUUUAGUAUAUGUUAUAAAUGAUAGUAAAGAAAAUUAUUUGUA